UGUGAGUGCCCUGUCUUCCACAGCU
rnacentral:piRNA from 1 species